AUUGAACGCUGGCGGCAUGCCUUACACAUGCAAGUCGAACGGCAGCACGGGAGCAAUCCUGGUGGCGAGUGGCGAACGGGUGAGUAAUAUAUCGGGACGUGCCCAGUCGUGGGGAUAACGUAGCGAAAGCUACGCUAAUACCGCAUACGAUCUAUGGAUGAAAGCGGGGGAUCGCAAGACCUCGCGCGAUUGGAGCGGCCGAUAUCAGAUUAGGUAGUUGGUGAGGUAAAGGCUCACCAAGCCGACGAUCUGUAGCUGGUCUGAGAGGACGACCAGCCACACUGGGACUGAGACACGGCCCAGACUCCUACGGGAGGCAGCAGUGGGGAAUUUUGGACAAUGGGCGCAAGCCUGAUCCAGCAAUGCCGCGUGCAGGAUGAAGGCCUU
rnacentral:rRNA from 1 species